ACCCAAUGACGACGAUGUUCCGACCUGUAUGAAUAGCAGUUGAUGUUAAUGUAAUCAGCAGACGAGCCGUCCCACUGCAGACUAAGGGUGCUGUCACUACUCUGUCUCCGUUUCAAAACAAGUACUUCAUGUAAUUCAACCGUCAAUUAGAUAUUUGAUAGGACGCUCCACUAGUACUGCUUUUCAGCAUUCGUUGUCAGUCGUGGAGAUUCAAUCGUGCUAGAUUGGAGCACUGGCUUGGAAAUGACUCUAUGUUUGUUGAAAUUUAAUGGCGAAAUACAAAUAAUAGCCCCUUGGGUUAAAAUAAAAUAAAACAUCUCAACAUGAGUGAACAAUUCUAGACGGGAUGUAAAACAACCAACCAGCCACCCACCCGCCCACCAAC